UGGCGGCGAUGAAGAGAACGUCAUUAUGGGAUACUGCGACGCGGAUUUUGCUGGCGAUAUCAAUGACCGGACAUCCACCUCUGUAAAUAUCUUCUUCUUUCAUGGAGGGCCAGUGGCCUGGAGCAGUAAGAAACAUAAAUGUGUUGCGCUACCACCACCGAGGUGGAAUACGUGUCGGCCAGUGAAGCGACAAAAACAGCUGUGUGGCUGAGAACCCUACACAACGACUUCACUGGAACUAACUACAAAGUCCCGCUCUUCUGCGACAAUCAGUGCUGUGCGACUAGUUCGCAACCCGGAAUUCCAUCCACGGACAAAACAUGUUGACAACCGUUAUCAUUUUGUUCGCAAAAUGGACGAAGACGGACUCAUCGAGGUAUUGUUUGUGAAAUCUGAGAACCAAUUGGCCGAUAUCUUUACCAAGCCCCUCCCAAGGACUUCGUUUGAGAAAAACAGAGAAAAGAUUGGUGUAGGUAAAAAGUAAUAACGUUUUUUUUUCACUAUCUUGCUGUGCAAUUUUUUCUUUCUCGUCUCCGAAUCCUUCUCCUUGUCUAUUUUUUGAUACCGUGUUUGAGGGAAAGUGUAUAAUGGCAAACUCGUUAAUCAUGUCAUAAUCGGUUGUCUUCAUUUUUCCUCACAUAUCCUCUCCAUUCUAAUGUCAUGUUUGAGGGAAAGAUUUUUUAAAAAUCCCUUAUCCCGUUUAUACUACUUCUUGUUUCAUAUGUAUGUGUGUUUGAGGGAAAGUGUAAGAAUAGCAAACUACGCCAUCUAGCAGUCAAGAGGGCAACCUCCUCUCUUGACUGUUUGGUCUACUCUCUUCUUCAUGGUGACUUAUGUCAAAGUGCUCUUAUCUCCACUCUUACUUUAAUCUCUCUCCCGAACAGACUGUAAGUAGAUAGUAAGACAGAAAUUGUAUGACAUACUUGGAGUAGUUUAAAUAAAUGUCCUCAGUUAAUUGCAUAGAUAUUGUAUCAGUUUAUUUAAACUUCACAGUUGACAACCGAACAAAAAGAUAGUGUUCUAUGGAACAGGUUAAGGUAUCUUCGUAUAACAGCAUCCAACUUGUAUGCUAUUUCUCACUGCAAAACUGUAAAUGGAUCAUUAGUGGACAUAAUGCAUGGCGCAAAAUUGAGAGAGACUGCAGCUAUGUCGAGAGGAACAAGAUUAGAGUCACAAGUGCUUGAAGUUGUGUCACAAAAGCUUAAAAUGUCUUUUCUACGUUGUGGUAUCAUGUCACACCCUAAAUACCCAAUCUUCAGUGCGUCGCUAGAUGCCAUUACUGUUGAUUACACGUUAGAAAUCAAAUGCCCUUCCAACGACAAGUCUUAUUUCCAUUUAAUAGAUAGAUCUGGCAAAAUAACUCAUAAAUGUAAUGCCCAAGUCCAGUUGCAAAUGCACAUGUCCGGUAGAAAAAAAUCCUUUUUUUGUGUUGCCAGUCCUGAAUUCGAAAAAAACAAACAAGUCAAAAUUUUGCCUAUCGAUUAUGAACCAAAGUACAUUACAGCAUUAAUGGUGAAAGCUCUCAAUUUUUGGAAAAGUGCUAUUGGAAAUUUUGUUCUUGAAUAAAAAAAAUGUGAUUUUGGAAGUACACCUGUAUUGUAUCA